rnacentral:siRNA from 1 species
GCCUAUUUAUACGGUCCACUGGA